AUUAUUACAUCAUAUUUUGUUAAUUUUUUAAAAAACACCACAUGCAUAUUACUGUAGCUUCACAUAUUGGAGAUUUGGUUUUGUAUCACGACAAUGGUUUUGUUGUUUGAGUAUCAGUUUAGAUAAUGCAUGUCAAUUGGUUCACCCCACAAAAAGGCAGUUGUUCAUUAUGUCAUUUUCAAGCUACACAAGUAGAUCAUCAGACUCUCAACCAUCAGCAAAGCAGAGCAACCAUGAUAAUUUUAACUCAAUAGUCACAUUUGGAUUGCAAGCAUGGGUGGAUGUAUGUUAGGAGUAUGUGGGACACGUGCCCCACAUUGAUUAUAAUGUUUUGCGAGUAUUAGAGUUUACAAUGGCUACUUAGCAUCUUUGGUCGUAAUGUAGUAAAGUAUUACCAUUCCCAUGUUUAGAUCCCUUUGAUGUUGCAAUGUUUUCUUUAUGUGUUUAUUAGUUAUCCAAAUAACAUUAUUCUAAUUUCUUUUUUGGUUGGUCUUUCUUAUAAAAAUGUCAAUUCUAAGUUUUGUUAUCAUUAUUUU
rnacentral:sRNA from 1 species